GAGGGUCCUGCGUCUGAUUAGGUAGUUGGUGGGGUAACGGCCUACCAAGCCAUCGAUCAGUAGCCGGCCUGAGAGGGUGAUCGGCCACACUGGAACUGAGACACGGUCCAGACUCCUACGGGAGGCAGCAGUGGGGAAUUUUGCGCAAUGGACGAAAGUCUGACGCAGCAACGCCGCGUGGGUGAUGAAGGUCUUCGGAUUGUAAAACCCUGUCGUCAGGGACGAAGGUCGUGGGGUUAAUAACCUUGCGGCUUGACGGUACCUGGAGAGGAAGCCCCGGCUAACUCUGUGCCAGCAGCCGCGGUAAUACAGAGGGGGCAAGCGUUAUUCGGAAUUAUUGGGCGUAAAGGGCGCGUAGGCGGUUUUGUAAGUCGGAUGUGUAAUCCCCGAGCUUAACUUGGGAACUGCAUCCGAGACUGCAAGGCUAGAGUGCUGGAGAGGGUGGUAGAAUUCCACGUGUAGCGGUGAAAUGCGUAGAGAUGUGGAGGAAUACCAGUGGCGAAGGCGGCCACCUGGACAGUAACUGACGCUGAUGCGCGAAAGUGUGGGUAGCAAACAGGAUUAGAU
rnacentral:rRNA from 1 species